ACACAUGCAAGUCGAACGAGAAUCUGUGGAUCGAGGAUUCGUCCAAGUGAAGCAGAGGACAGUGGCGGACGGGUGAGUAACGCGUGAGGAACCUGCCUUUCAGAGGGGGACAACAGUUGGAAACGACUGCUAAUACCGCAUGAUACAUUUGGGUGGCAUCAUCUGAAUGUCAAAGAUUUAUCGCUGAAAGAUGGCCUCGCGUCUGAUUAGCUGGUUGGUGAGGUAACGGCCCACCAAGGCGACGAUCAGUAGCCGGACUGAGAGGUUGACCGGCCACAUUGGGACUGAGAUACGGCCCAGACUCCUACGGGAGGCAGCAGUGGGGAAUAUUGGGCAAUGGGCGCAAGCCUGACCCAGCAACGCCGCGUGAAGGAAGAAGGCUUUCGGGUUGUAAACUUCUUUUAAGAGGGAAGAGCAGAAGACUGUACCUCUAGAAUAAGCCACGGCUAACUACGUGCCAGCAGCCGCGGUAAUACGUAGGUGGCAAGCGUUGUCCGGAUUUACUGGGUGUAAAGGGCGUGCAGCCGGGAAUGCAAGUCAGAUGUGAAAUCCAUGGGCUUAACCCAUGAACUGCAUUUGAAACUGUAUUUCUUGAGUACUGGAGAGGCAAUCGGAAUUCCUAGUGUAGCGGUGAAAUGCGUAGAUAUUAGGAGGAACACCAGUGGCGAAGGCGGAUUGCUGGACAGCAACUGACGGUGAGGCGCGAAAGUGUGGGGAGCAAACAGGAUUAGAUACCCUGGUAGUCCACACUGUAAACGAUGAAUACUAGGUGUGCGGGGACUGACCCCCUGCGUGCCGCAGUUAACACAAUAAGUAUUCCACCUGGGGAGUACGAUCGCAAGGU
rnacentral:rRNA from 1 species